UGCAAUGGACUGCACAGGCACUAUCU
rnacentral:piRNA from 1 species